CCUACGGGAGGCAGCAGUGAGGAAUAUUGGUCAAUGGGCGCGAGCCUGAACCAGCCAAGUAGCGUGAAGGAUGACUGCCCUACGGGUUGUAAACUUCUUUUAUAAAGGAAUAAAGUGAGGCACGUGUGCCUUGUUGGAUGUACUUGAUGAAUAAGGAUCGGCUAACUCCGUGCCAGCAGCCGCGGUAAUACGGAGGAUCCGAGCGUUAUCCGGAUUUAUUGGGUUUAAAGGGAGCGUAGCUGGGUUGUUAAGGCCGUUGUGAAACUGUGCGGCUAAACCGUAAAAUUGCAAUUGAUACUGGCAGUCUUGAGUCCCGUUGAGGUAGGCGGCAUUCGUGGUGUAGCCGU
rnacentral:rRNA from 1 species